rnacentral:rRNA from 1 species
GAUGAACGCUGGCGGCGUGCCUAAUACAUGCAAGUCGAGCGAACGGACGAGGAGCUUGCUUCUCUGAUGUUAGCGGCGGACGGGUGAGUAACACGUGGAUAACCUACCUAUAAGACUGGGAUAACUUCGGGAAACCGGAGCUAAUACCGGAUAAUCUCUUGAACCGCAUGGUUCAAUAGUGAAAGACGGUCUUGCUGUCACUUAUAGAUGGAUCCGCGCUGCAUUAGCUAGUUGGUAAGGUAACGGCUUACCAAGGCAACGAUGCAUAGACGACCUGAGAGAGUGGUAGGCCACACUGGAACUGAGACACGGUCCAGACUCCUACGGGAGGCCGCAGUAGGGAAUCUGCCGCAAUGGGCGAAAGCCUGACGGAGCAACGCCGCGUGAGUGAUGAAGGUGUUCGGAUCGUAAAACUCUGUUAUUAGGGAAGAACAGAUGUGUAAGUAACUGUGCACAGCUUGACGGUACCUAAUCAGAAAGCCACGGCUAACUACGUG